rnacentral:rRNA from 1 species
CAGCAGCCGCGGUAAUACCGGCCCCGCGAGUGGUCGGGGUGAUUAUUGGGCCUAAAGCGUCCGUAGCCGGGUUGGGAAGUCCUCCGGGAAAUCUGGCCGCUUAACGGUCAGAAUGCCGGAGGAUACUCCCAGCCUAGGGAGCGGGAGAGGCCGAGGGUAUUCCCGGAGUAGGGGUGAAAUCCUAUAAUCCCGGGAGGACCACCUGUGGCGAAGGCGCUCGGCUGGAACGCGUCCGACGGUGAGGGACGAAGGCCAGGGGAGCAAACCGGAUUAGAUACCCGGGUAGUCCUGGCGGUAAACGAUGCGGACUUUGUGUCGGACAAGCUAUGAGCUUGUCCGGUGCCGGAGGGAAACCGUUAAGUCCGCCGCCUGGGGAGUACGGCCGCAAGGCUGAAACUUAAAGGAAUUGGCGGG